rnacentral:rRNA from 1 species
CCUACGGGAGGCUGCAGUGGGGGAUAUUGCACAAUGGGGGAAACCCUGAUGCAGCGACGCCGCGUGUGGGAAGACGGUCCUCUGGAUUGUAAACCACUGUCCCCAGGGACGAAGAUGACGGUACCUGGGGAGGAAGCUCCGGCUAACUACGUGCCAGCAGCCGCGGUAAUACGUAGGGAGCGAGCGUUGUCCGGAAUUACUGGGUGUAAAGGGAGCGUAGGCGGGACUGCAAGGUGGGUGUAAAAUCUACCGGCUCAACCGGUAGCCGCACUCAAAACUGCAGUUCUUGAGUGAAGUAGAGGCAGGCGGAAUUCCGAGUGUAGCGGUGAAAUGCGUAGAUAUCAGGAGGAACACCGGUGGCGAAGGCGGCCUGCUGGACUGCAACUGACGUUGAGGCCCGAAAGCGUGGGGAGCAAACAGGAUUAGAUACCCGAGUAGUC